rnacentral:rRNA from 1 species
AACGCGAAGAACCUUACCAAGGCUUGACAUAUAGCGAAAAGUGGCAGAGAUGUCAUGUCCGCAAGGGCGCUAUACAGGUGGUGCAUGGUUGUCGUCAGCUCGUGUCGUGAGAUGUUGGGUUAAGUCCCGCAACGAGCGCAACCCUUGUCCUUAGUUGCCAUCAUUAAGUUGGGAACUCUAAGGAGACCGCCGGUGACAAACCGGAGGAAGGUGGGGAUGACGUCAAGUCAUCAUGGCCUUUAUGACCAGGGCUACACACGUGCUACAAUGGCAAGUACAGAGGGAAGCCAACCGGCGACGGGGAGCCAAUCCCAGAAAGCCGAUCGUAGUCCGGAUCGUAGUCCGCAACUCGACUACGUGAAGUCGGAAUCGCUAGUAAUCGCGGAUUAGAAUGCCGCGGUGAAUACGUUCCCGGGUCUUGUACACACCG